rnacentral:rRNA from 1 species
GACGAACGCUGGCGGCGUGCUUAACACAUGCAAGUCGAACGGAAAGGCCCUGCUUUGGUGGGGUGCUCGAGUGGCGAACGGGUGAGUAACACGUGAGUAACCUGCCCUUGACUUUGGGAUAACUUCAGGAAACUGGGGCUAAUACCGGAUAGGAGCUCCUGCGGCAUGGUGGGGGUUGGAAAGUUUCGGCGGUUGGGGAUGGACUCGCGGCUUAUCAGCUUGUUGGUGGGGUAGUGGCUUACCAAGGCUUUGACGGGUAGCCGGCCUGAGAGGGUGACCGGCCACAUUGGGACUGAGAUACGGCCCAGACUCCUACGGGAGGCAGCAGUGGGGAAUAUUGCACAAUGGGCGGAAGCCUGAUGCAGCAACGCCGCGUGCGGGAUGACGGCCUUCGGGUUGUAAACCGCUUUCGCCUGUGACGAAGCGUGAGUGACGGUAAUGGGUAAAGAAGCACCGGCUAACUACGUG